rnacentral:lncRNA from 1 species
AUCACAAUAUAAAUACAUGUUUUAUUAAGCAUGGAUACACACCUGGAUAUAACUACAAAAGUCCCAAACCCUCCAUCAAUAAUACUACUUCUUCCACUCUUGUUGAAAUGCCAUCUCACUCCUCUCAAAAGUCUCAACACACCAUGGCUACAAUUCAAGAUCAAUACAACCAGAUUCUUUAACUUCUCCAUCAAUGACAAUCCUCUUCUACA